rnacentral:rRNA from 1 species
CAGCGAAAGGUGCUUGCACCUUUCAAGUGAGUGGCGAACGGGUGAGUAACACGUGGACAACCUGCCUCAAGGCUGGGGAUAACAUUUGGAAACAGAUGCUAAUACCGAAUAAAACUCAGUGUCGCAUGACACAAAGUUAAAAGGCGCUUUGGCGUCACCUAGAGAUGGAUCCGCGGUGCAUUAGUUAGUUGGUGGGGUAAAGGCCUACCAAGACAAUGAUGCAUAGCCGAGUUGAGAGACUGAUCGGCCACAUUGGGACUGAGACACGGCCCAAACUCCUACGGGAGGCUGCAGUAGGGAAUCUUCCACAAUGGGCGAAAGCCUGAUGGAGCAACGCCGCGUGUGUGAUGAAGGCUUUCGGGUCGUAAAGCACUGUUGUAUGGGAAGAACAGCUAGAAUAGGGAAUGAUUUUAGUUUGACGGUACCAUACCAGAAAGGGACGGCUAAAUACGUGCCAGCAGCCGCGGUAAUACGUAUGUCCCGAGCGUUAUCCGGAUUUAUUGGGCGUAAAGCGAGCGCAGACGGUUAAUUAAGUCUGAUGUGAAAGCCCGGAGCUCAACUCCGGAAUGGCAUUGGAAACUGGUUAACUUGAGUGCAGUAGAGGUAAGUGGAACUCCAUGUGUAGCGGUGGAAUGCGUAGAUAUAUGGAAGAACACCAGUGGCGAAGGCGGCUUACUGGACUGUAACUGACGUUGAGGCUCGAAAGUGUGGGUAGCAAACAGGAUUAGAUACCCUGGUAGUCCACACCGUAAACGAUGAACACUAGGUGUUAGGAGGUUUCCGCCUCUU